UUGCCAGCUCUGGAAGCUGAAGCACUUUCUUAUUCUCAUACCAGAUAGAGCAGGAGCAGUGACAGUCACAGCCUGUCUCAUGCUCUUCCCUUCCGUGGUUCAGUCCUGUUGAGAAGGACAGGAAGGUAGUUAGGUUCCACAGCCUGUUCGGUCUCUGGUCCCA
rnacentral:sRNA from 1 species